rnacentral:piRNA from 1 species
UUCUUCCCAGCACUUCCCUGCGAGC